rfam:Capsicum annuum cultivar Zunla-1 chromosome 1, whole genome shotgun sequence
UUAAGUUAACCACAUAAAAUAUGUCAUCUUCUUUAACUAUACGCAUCACCUCAAGUAAAAAAAGCUUGUCACUUUUUGGAUUUAUUGAGGCGAAUGCGUAUAACUAAAGGAGAUGAUAUAUUUUAUGUGGUUGACUUAACU